UACGUAGGGUGCAAGCGUUGUCCGGAAUUAUUGGGCGUAAAGAGCUCGUAGGCGGUUUGUCGCGUCUGCUGUGAAAACUCGGGGCUUAACCCCAGGCCUGCAGUGGGUACGGGCAGACUAGAGUGCGGUAGGGGAGACUGGAAUUCCUGGUGUAGCGGUGAAAUGCGCAGAUAUCAGGAGGAACACCGGUGGCGAAGGCGGGUCUCUGGGCCGUAACUGACGCUGAGGAGCGAAAGCGUGGGGAGCGAACAGG
rnacentral:rRNA from 1 species